rnacentral:rRNA from 1 species
UACGAAGGGGGCUAGCGUUGCUCGGAUUGACUGGGCGUAAAGGGCGCGUAGGCGGUUCGUACAGUCAGACGUGAAAUUCCUGGGCUCAACCUGGGGGCUGCGUUUGAUACGUGCGGACUUGAGUGCGGAAGAGGGUCGUGGAAUUCCCAGUGUAGAGGUGAAAUUCGUAGAUAUGCGGAGGAACACCAGUGGCGAAGGCGGCGACCUGGGCCAAUAUUGACGCUGAGGUGCGAAAGCGUGGGGAGCAAACAGG